UGCGUAGGCGGGGAAUUAAGUCGAUGGUGAAAGGUAGCAGCUCAACUGUUUUACAUGCUGUCGAUACUGAUUUUCUUGAGUUAUUGGAAGGCAGAUAGAAUUUCUGGUGUAGCGGUGAAAUGCUUAGAUACCAGAAGGAAUACCGAUUGCGAAGGCAGUCUGCUGCAAAUAUACUGACGCUGAGGCACGAAAGUAUGGGGAUCAAACAGGAUUAGAUACCCGUGUA
rnacentral:rRNA from 1 species